rnacentral:rRNA from 1 species
ACUUGGAUAACCGUGGUAAUUCUARAGCUAAUACAUGCUGAAAAUCCCGACUUCGGAAGGGAUGUGUUUAUUAGAUAAAAAMCCAAUGCCCUUCGGGGCUUUUUGGUGAUUCAUGAUAACUUUACGGAUCGCAUAGCCUUGCGCUGGCGACGGUUCAUUCAAAUUUCUGCCCUAUCAACUUUCGAUGGUAAGGUAUUGGCUUACCAUGGUUUCAACGGGUAACGGGGAAUUAGGGUUCGAUUCCGGAGAGGGAGCCUGAGAAACGGCUACCACAUCCAAGGAAGGCAGCAGGCGCGCAAAUUACCCAAUCCCGACMCGGGGAGGUAGUGACAAUAAAUASUGAUACAGGGCUCUUUUGGGUCUUGUAAUUGGAAUGAGUACAAUUUAAACCUCUUAMCGAGGAACAAUUGGAGGGCAAGUCUGGUGCCAGCAGCCGCGGUAAUUCCAGCUCCAAUAGCGUAUAUUAAAGUUGUYGCAGUUAAAAAGCUCSUAGUUGAAAYUUGGGCSUGGCUGGMGGGUYCGCCUCWCCGMGUGCAMUMGUCCGGCCGGGCCUUCMUUMKGAAGAACCUCAUGCCCUUCACUGGGCGUGWUGGGGAAUCAGGACUUYUACUUUGAAAAAAUUAGAGUGUUCAAAGCAGGCCUUUGCUCGAAUACGUUAGCAUGGAAUAAUAAAAUAGGGCGUGSGUKUMUAYWUKGUUGGUYUMUAGAGACSCMKCAAAGAUUAACAGGAACAGUAGGGGGCAUCAGUAUUCAGUUGUCAGAGGUGAAAUUUUUGGAAAUAUUGAAGGAUAAAUCAUGAGAAAGCAUAGGGCAAGGAUGUUUUCAUUAAUCAGUGAAUGAAAUUUAGGGGAUGGAAGAUGAUCAGAUACUGUCUUAGUAUUAACCGUAAAUUAUGAAGAAUAGGGAUCGGGUGAAGUUAUUUUUUAGACUCGCU